UCUAUGGGGUCGCACAGAGUCGGACACGACUGAGGCGACUUAGCAGCAGCAGCAGCAGCAGCAGUGUUCUGAAAGCUUCUUGGUUGUGUUUUUUGAACCUUUUUAGUGUUUGUUUCCUAAUCUUCCUCCAAUAUGAUUUAAGGCCAAAGGGUUUAAUUCCCUGGAACCCAGCGCCUGGCCCAUAGUAGACAUUCAAAUAUUUGUUCCCGAAAUAAUACUCGGAAUGAACCUACUCUCACCUGAAAGUAAGGGCAACCGAGAAGUGCCAGGGACACAGCCGCACGUUUGUUUAGUUUCCCUAGCUGUGAAAUGGGAAUAACGCCCCUCACACUGUUGUGAAGAUGGAGCCAAAGUAGGGCAAAUCCCUCUCCUGUUACCUCUAGCUACCUGGAAAUGUGGCUACCGGUUCUUGUUUUUCUUUUUUCCCCUGUGGGUUUCAGGAUUUAACCUGAUGUCUCAAGCUCUUCAUCAGCAAAAACGUGUUAUGGCAGGCAGAAGGGCCACCUGAAAGAGACUUAUGCCCAUCGAAGCACGGAAGCUACAGGCAUUUGACCUGCAAGCCAGGGAGACACCAUGAUUGGAGGCUUCAAGCCAGGCUUGACAGCACCUAAACCACAAGACUGAAAACCAAACCCCAGAGGGGACCAAGAGCACCUCUGAAUUCGUGCGGGACCAGAGAUGUGAGGACCAGACAUCUCCUGCUUCUCCUCGUCCUGGCACCUUACACAUUCCCUAACCAGACACAGUCCUGAGGAAGAGCACUGGCCUCCCGUGAUAAGAUUAUUGUCACUGGCAGCUAAGUGGGGCUUAAAGUAGAAAUAAAGUUCAGUUACAGAAUAAAAGUUCCAUUUGUUCCACA